AUGUGCAUACUCCACAAGCAAGUAGGGAAGCAUGCUAGUCCCACAUUUCUCCAUCACUACUUGAAACAGACAAAAGUAACUGUCUGGACAGAAAGAGGCUGCCAUAUUUAUGUACACUGUAAACUGCCCCCCCUCCCCGGCUUAUGUGUAGAACCUACAUGGGACAUAGAACACAGAACUCGCCCCACUUCUAACUGUCAUGUGUUGAAAGCAAGGAUGGGGGAGCUAAACUCAACUUUUAUCAUGUGUAUUGUAUACAUGCUAUAUCAGGUUGGAAACAUAAUAACAUCAACCAUCAUAACAGAUUAUGACCAACUGAAUACUUUGUUCUACCUGACGCUGAAAACUUAAAAACGAAUGAUGGUGCGGCAAGUACGCCGGUACAGCAGAAAUGAGAGAGCACUUCGCCUGAGGCGAUUAAGACGAAGGAGGAAAAGUGCUAGAAGACUCAAUAGGAGGCAGAAGAGAGGUUUUAAAAAAAUUAUUAAUCGGAUUAUUGCAAAAGGCCCCCGAACAGUACAAUCUUAUGCACUUUUGAUCAAGAAUAAGGCCCAUUUGGUUCCCAUGUUCAUAUGUACAGGAUUGCAAAGGAGAAAUGCUGACAACAAAUCAUCCAGAGAAAAAACCUAAGGAGCAUUAUUUAAAAAUAAGAAGCAUCUUUUAGCCAUUAUGCACACAGCUGUAUGCAGUUAGGAUAUUAAUCAUUAUAUCUAGACAACAGUAUAUUUAUUGCUCACUGAAAGUAUCAGGGAAGUCAAUCUUUACUUAAAUUUUGUUCUCUUCAGUAAAAACAAUUAUAUUAUAGCAUCUUAGAGACAAAUACAUUUUGGAAGUGUGGCAUAAGCAAUCAUAGACUGCAACACACUUUAAUGGACAGCAAACUUGAGUUCCUUAACCUGAAUUCAACUCAAGAAAGUAUAGGCUGCAUGACAAAUUCCCCUUAAAAAACAUGUUUCUCAUAAUCUAAUCUUGCUUAUGUACAAGAGCAAAAAUUUUGGACCCUUCUGGGAAUUCUGAACUCUUUGUCUUGCUGGAAUUUGUUAUUCCCCUCACCUACAUGAACCCUAAAAUAGCACUGCUAUAAAAACCUUGCAAAGAAAAAGCAUACACAUAUCAUGUGAUUUCAAGUAUUCUGUAGACAUCUCACUGUGCAAGUAUCCUAAGAAAAAAAGAGAUCUAGGUUUGGAGAAGUUGGCACAAGCCGGGGGAAAGGGGCAUUUCCAGAAACACAUGUCCUUCAUGGAUCUCUCUGUAUUUGGUGGGGGCCCUCUGUAUCCCUCCUGAUGGGGCUGCACAGAAAUCCCCAUCUUUCUUUACCACCGGGUCUGUUGAUUAGGCUGAUGGGACUUGUAGUCCAACAGCAUCUAGAAGGCCACAAGUGACCCACCUCUGUCAUAAGCUACCUGAAGGUUGGGAGCAGGAAUGCUUAUUUGGUUCAGGCCACAGAAGGUCCUUUGUUGGAGCUUCUUUCUGGUCGCAAGUUGGUCAAAGUAAGAUUUUCAGUGCUUGGUAAAUCUCUGCUGAAAGGGACAGAAUUAUGAAAUGAGCUUAUAGUAUGGUGAUGGAGCAAGGGAAAGCAAACCAAAACUUGAGGUUUCAUUUCUUAUCUUUGUCUACAUUUAUUUUUUUCCUGUUGUUCCUUAAUACAGGCAGACGCCAAUCCCAUUACCGCAGGAGCUCAUUGUCACCCUAGCUACUUUCACUUCCUGAAGUAGGACAGCUGCGGCUCACAUAAACAAAUAUGUUGGGAGAUCAGGACCAUGGCAGAGAAACAUGACACAUCAAGCAGCUGCAAGCAUUAGUGCCAAGCAAUAAACCAUCUGAGUACCGCUCA
ensembl:lncRNA